rnacentral:rRNA from 1 species
UAGGGAAUAUUAGAAAUGGACGAAAGUCUGAUCUAGCAACACCGCGUGUGCGAAGAAGGCCUUCGGGUUGUAAAGCACUUUUUGGAAGGAUUAGGAAGGAAUGUACUUCCAGAAUAAGUCUCGGCUAACUACGUGCCAGCAGCCGCGGUAACACGUAGGAGGCAACCGUUAUCCGGAUUUACUGGGCGUAAAGCGUGUGUAGGUGGUUCUGUAAGUAGGGCGUGAAAGCUCCUGGCUCAACUGGGAGAGGCCGUUCUAAACUGCAGAGCUAGAGGAUGGUAGAGGGAGGUGGAAUUCCGGGUGUAGCGGUGGAAUGCGCAGAUAGCCGGAGGAACACCAGUGGCGAAAGCGGCCUCCUGGACCAUUCCUGACACUCAGACGCGAAAGCUAGGGUAGCAAACG